ACGAGGAUGGACACGAGCAAGGUUUUGCGUAAAGAGAUUUGAUCUAUAAAUCAGGCGAUAGGCGAAACGUCCAAGCUGCAUCUGAAUGCCAACCAUAAACAUUUGAUCUCAUUCAGUCUCAUCCGAAUAUGCAUUCAGAUCUUCUUGAGGGAUAAUGGACUAUUGGAAAGCCCUUUGCUACCACAGAGAAAGUAUGGCAACAUCAAAAGGUUGGGAAUGGAACAAUAUUUCGGGAAUCCAACCAGUUGAAAGUAUCCGUUUGGUACUUAAAGAAUAUGAUGUCAGAUCAGUUGUCAUCUGAGAAAUUAUUACUGAUGAUAGGAUGACAUAAACUGUAUCUUGGAAAGUCUACACAUCAGAUUCCCAUGGAAUUGUUGUGCAAUUUAAAUGUUUAAAUAUGAAACUAUUUGUCAAAAGAUUAAAUGUAAUUUUAGUAUUUAAAAUUAGAGAAUUGUUUUCAUAAGUAAAAUAUGCUCAGUGGCCACGCCCACGUGAAUAGGCAUUGGUUGGAAAUGAUGACCCAACCCCUUUCCUAUAAGAGACCCGUAACCCAAAUCACAGCGAACUAAGCCAAUCUCAGCGUGAGCUCUAAUUGCACGACUACAACCUAACAAAAUUAAUAUUGUGUUCCCGAUGACGUGGGGACUGAUAUCCAUACGUUUAGAAGGGAGAAUUUCAAUGUGGAGGUGACAAUCGCCACGCUGGAAGGAUGAAUUUCGACUAAACCAGCCAGAAUCGAGCAUGAGCUUAUAGUAUGGUAACUUGGUAUGAAUUUUGAACUCUUAUUCACUAAAGAAGUGAUACAUCCUAGACGUCGAGUUAUCAGCAGCAGCUGUAAACGUGCGUGGCCUAGGAAAGGUUGGACAAUCUCUUCAGACAACAGGGUACUACAAAAUAUCCGUUCGACCACAAGACGACAGGGUACUACAACGUAUCGGCCCAGAAAUAUUCUUCAAAGGACAAGGGAGAUCUCUGCUGGGCAACCCAGCCUUCCAUCUACGACCAAUCUAUUGAAGAGCAGCUCAGAGUAAAUAUUUCUUGCAUUUUCCUUUUCCAAAUGGGCGUUUUUUUAGAAUGCAUAAGAUUCUGUAUUUACGAUGGCUUUGCUGCAUAAGUUCCGAUAGAGACUCAAACCUUUUCUUCCUCAGUCUUCCCGCGCUUUCAUUUAAACCCAACCACCUUUCUUUGUGUAAACAGCCGUCAUAUCGGUUUUGUCCGCUAGGGAUGUUUUAUUUAAUGACAUAAUUAGUAAAUAAUGUAUGAUCCAUCCUGUGUAUAUAUAAUUGUGUGUGAUUAUUUAGUAAAUAAAUCAUUAAACCAAAUUUUGUAUUGCUGAUUCAACUUGUUAGCCAGGGUUCGUGAAGAAUUUUACGACGUUCAUGUCACGCCUUGGUCUUAGUAUUUUGUGUUUUCUUUAAUUAUUUGUUCCGGCCAGGGUGUGACAUGGGUUUAUUGCGUUGUCGUAUAGUUUUUUUUGUAGGCAUUGGGAUUGUGGCUGAUUAGGGGUGUGUCUAGCAUAGGCUUGGCUGCCUGAGGCGGUUCUCAAUCAGAGUCAGGUGAUUCUCGUUGUCUCUGAUUGGGAACCAUAUUUAGGUAGCCUGGGUUUCACUGUGUAUUUUGUGGGUGAUUGUUCCUGUCUCUGUGUUAGUUAUUCACCAGACAGGCUGUAUAGGUUCACACGUUCCGUUUGUUGUUUUUGUAUAUUUCUAAGUUAUUUCAUGUAUCGCUAUUCUACAUUAAAGAACAUGAGU